GGCUGACAUUGUUUAUGUAUUAAUUUUGCUGCGGGUUGAACGGUGAAAGUCGGCAGGGGCAUCACUAUAUAUACUUGUGCAAUAAAAUUUCUAAUUAAUACUAUUAUAUAUACUGACCAAAGCAAAGUUGAAAUAGAAUUUGUAAUUCAGGACAUUUCUUUACAGCUACACAUAAGAAAGGCGUUAUGGAGAAAAGGGAAAUGAGAGAUUUUUUGGGAAACACCCAACACUAUAAUCCCGAAUCAAAUAAUUUUAGUGCAGCAGAAACUGCGAAGGCUAAAUUCAGAUACAAAGGUGCACAUCAUAUGGGUUCCAAUCCAGACGCAGGAUUGAGGCUUCGCGAGGGAAGCCCAAAACUGAACAUAUUUUCUCAGUUUAGGCGAACAAGGUCCGAAAGUUGUGGAAGUGAAGGAGAACCGACAUCACCAGUUGGAUCAGCAUCAUGUGCAUUGCCACCAAUUCAUGCUAUUUUAUAAACCAAUGCUCAAAACAAAAAUUGCUUAAACUUCUAGUCGCAAUGGCAUUUGUUAUGUUUGAGAAAGGAUAACAUUCUUGCGAGCUUAGAUUUGUAAAUAGUAGAGAUUUCGGUUAUGUUUCACUUAUUUGAUAAAAAAGUGUUCGAAUGUGUAUGGUGUUGAAAAUGAAUGCUUCCGAUCAAAUCAAUUUAUGAAUAUUAAAAUGUGAUAUGUUUACUUGUAUGUUCAUAUUUGUUUUUGUUUUGUUUAUACAUGUUAUUCCAAAUAAAUUUUCUACAAAUUCA